rnacentral:rRNA from 1 species
GACGAACGCUGGCGGCAUGCCUAAUACAUGCAAGUCGAGCGGAACAUUGGGAGCUUGCUCCCAUUGUUUAGCGGCGGACGGGUGAGUAACACGUGGGCAACCUGCCCUGCAGAUCGGGAUAACUCCGGGAAACCGGUGCUAAUACCGAAUAGUUUUUUGCCCCUCCUGGGGCAGAACGGAAAGACGGUUUCGGCUGUCACUGCAGGAUGGGCCCGCGGCGCAUUAGCUAGUUGGUGGGGUAAUGGCCCACCAAGGCGACGAUGCGUAGCCGACCUGAGAGGGUGAUCGGCCACACUGGGACUGAGACACGGCCCAGACUCCUACGGGAGGCAGCAGUAGGGAAUCUUCCGCAAUGGACGAAAGUCUGACGGAGCAAUGCCGCGUGAGUGACGAAGGUUUUCGGAUCGUAAAACUCUGUUGUAAGGGAAGAACAAGUACCAAGUAACUACUGGUACCUUGACGGUACCUUACCAGAAAGCCACGGCUAACUACGUGCCAGCAGCCGCCGUAACA